rnacentral:rRNA from 1 species
UACGUAGGGUGCAAACGUUGUUCGGAAUUACUGGGCGUAAAGCGCGUGUAGGCGGCUUGGCAAGUCAGAUGUGAAAUCCCGCGGCUCAACCGUGGAAGUGCAUUUGAAACUGCCAGGAUAGAAUACGGGAGAGGGUUGUAGAAUUCCUGGUGUAGAGGUGAAAUUCGUAGAUAUCAGGAGGAAUACCGGUGGCGAAGGCGGUAACCUGGACCGAUAUUGACGCUGAGACGCGAAAGCGUGGGUAGCAAACAGG